UGCAAGUCGAACGAGAAAGCCCCUCCGGGGGUGAGUAGAGUGGCGCACGGGUGAGUAACGCGUGGAUAAUCUACCUAUGAGUUUGGGAUAACUUCGCGAAAGUGGAGCUAAUACCGGAUGGUCUGUCGAUUAUACCUUGAUUGACGGUAAAGAUAGCCUCUUCUUGAAAGCUAUUGCUUGUAGAUGAGUCCGCGUCUCAUUAGCUUGUUGGUAGGGUAACGGCCUACCAAGGCGACGAUGAGUAACUGGUCUGAGAGGAUGAUCAGUCACACUGGAACUGAAACACGGUCCAGACUCCUACGGGAGGCAGCAGUGGGGAAUAUUGGGCAAUGGGCGCAAGCCUGACCCAGCAACGCCGUGUGAGGGAUGAAGGUCUUCGGAUUGUAAACCUCUGUCAGAAGGGAAGAAGUGCAAGUGGUCCAAUAGGCCAUUUGUUUGACGGUACCUUCAGAGGAAGCACCGGCUAACUCCGUGCCAGCAGCCGCGGUAAUACGGAGGGUGCAAGCGUUAUUCGGAAUUACUGGGCGUAAAGCGUGCGUAGGCGGCGAGGUAAGUCAGGUGUGAAAUCCCACGGCUCAACCGUGGAACUGCACUUGAAACUGCUUUGCUUGAGUACUUGGAGGGGAUGGCGGAAUUCCUGGUGUAGGAGUGAAAUCCGUAGAUAUCAGGAGGAACACCGGUGG
rnacentral:rRNA from 1 species